rnacentral:piRNA from 1 species
CAAACAGUUUUGAGGAGCAAUGUAUACAUUA